AAGGCGCUAGCCUCCUUAAUGAUGCUUAUCUCAUGGGAGAUAUGGACAGAGCGUAACGCUAGGGUCUUUCGAAACACGCCCAUCCCUUCCAUGGUCCUAAUCUGUAAGAUCAAAGAAGAGGUGUCUCUUUGGGCAGUGGCGGGUGCAAAGCACAUGAGUGUUGUAAUGCCGCGAGACUAG
rnacentral:rRNA from 1 species